AUGACUCCAGAGCCUGUGUUCUUUGUGUUGGGUCAUAGAGGAAUGGGGGAGGUUAUAAUUCUUCCAUUGAGGUUAAUACUUGUUAUAGUCUUCAAGCUCUUAUUUUCUUCUACAGCAUGUCUUGAAAUCAAACAUAACGAAGCUAAUGAAGGCUUCUCAGCAAUCCAAGAGAAACAUAGAAGCAAAAUGUGGCAUUUGGAGACCAGAGAGUACAACUUUCUCUGAGGACAAUAAUUCUGAUUUUGAACAUUGAGCAACAUUUGAGCAACAUUGAAGAUGUGGUUGAAACAUUUCCCAGACCAUCACCCUGGUUUGAGGGCAUCUGUCAGCCUGCCUUCCCAUCAUCUCAGCCUGUUGCAAAACUUCUCAAGUCUGUAGCAGGCCUUGGUCGUACAAAGGUAAGUUGUUCUGUUUGUUCUUCUUUCCCUGGACUUGUUCACAUACCAUUCCCCUGGUCCUUAUGAUAACAAAAGGGAUCCCACCACAGGAAUAGAAGCCCUGAAAGUCACGAUACAAAAUGGUGUGAUAAUAAGAGCCAUACAUGUGCCUGAUUCAGAUUUAUAAAUAUUGGCAUACUAAGUAUCCUGUUAUGAAAGAAAAGAAUUACAAAGCACUGAGGAAAAAUAACUAGAUGAAUAUGAAGAUGGGGAGGAGGAUGAAGGGGAAGAAUUCCUUUAAGAAGGACAAGAUGAAUAUAAGAUGGAAUGAGGGUGAAGAUGAGACAGAUUAUUAUACAAACACAGCAGAAAUAGUGGGAGUAAGUCUGACCAGGAACUGUAUAUUAUAAAUAUGCAAGAAAUUAUUUCAAAUUCAGCUCAAGAAGAGAAAGUGAGGUCGUGAAAAAAGGAUGCUCAUACUCUUUGAAUGACACAUAGCUUAUUUUUAUGAAGAACUGAAAGAAAAUGUGUUCCUUAUUUUUUUUUGGUGUUUGUUUUCGACGGUGGUGGUGGUUCUUGUGUUUUCCUUCAGUUGAAGUGUAGUCCGUUUAAAAUACCGUGUAAGUUUCAGGUGUACAGCAAGGUGAUUUGUUUAUACUUGUAUAUGUAUAUAUGUUUUUUGAAUAUAGUUCCCUCUGAAAGUUCAUGUAAAUUUGAAGUGAUUUCUCUUUUUAAAAAAUUUAUCACUUUGAAAUUAACGAAGCGAUGUCUUCUAUUUAACCUAGCAAAACUUUCAUUUAGAGACAAUUCAAGAUGAGCCCUGUUUUUGGAGACGUAUUAUGAAUUAAGAAUUUUUGGC
rnacentral:lncRNA from 1 species